rnacentral:rRNA from 1 species
CCCUUAGAUGUUCUGGGCUGCACGCGCGCUACACUGACACACGCAACGAGUCUCCUGCUCUGACAGGGUCGGGUAAUCAUUUGAGUGUGUGUCGUGAUGGGGAUAGAGUAUUGCAAUUAUUGCUCUUGAACGAGGAAUUCCUAGUAAGCACAAGUCAGCAGCUUGUGCUGAUUACGUCCCUGCCCUUUGUACACACCGCCCGUCGCUCCUACCGAGGGGGUGAUCCGGUGAAUGAUUCGGACUCUGGUGCUUCUAGCUGCUAGAUGCGCCGGAGGAAGUUUUGUGAACCUUAUCACUUGGAGGAAGGAGAAGUCGUAACA